AUUGAACGCUGGCGGCAGGCCUAACACAUGCAAGUCGAGCGGAUGAAGGGAGCUUGCUCCUGGAUUCAGCGGCGGACGGGUGAGUAAUGCCUAGGAAUCUGCCUGGUAGUGGGGGAUAACGUCCGGAAACGGGCGCUAAUACCGCAUACGUCCUGAGGGAGAAAGUGGGGGAUCUUCGGACCUCACGCUAUCAGAUGAGCCUAGGUCGGAUUAGCUAGUUGGUGGGGUAAAGGCCUACCAAGGCGACGAUCCGUAACUGGUCUGAGAGGAUGAUCAGUCACACUGGAACUGAGACACGGUCCAGACUCCUGCGGGAGGCAGCAGUGGGGAAUAUUGGACAGUGGGCGAAAGCCUGAUCCAGCCAUGCCGCGUGUGUGAAGAAGGUCUUCGGAUUGUAAAGCACUUUAAGUUGGGAGGAAGGGCAGUAAGUUAAUACCUUGCUGUUUUGACGUUACCAACAGAAUAAGCACCGGCUAACUUCGUG
rnacentral:rRNA from 1 species